rnacentral:rRNA from 1 species
GUGCCUGGAUUCAGCGGCGGACGGGUGAGUAAUGCCUAGGAAUCUGCCUGGUAGUGGGGGAUAACGUCCGGAAACGGGCGCUAAUACCGCAUACGUCCUGAGGGAGAAAGUGGGGGAUCUUCGGACCUCACGCUAUCAGAUGAGCCUAGGUCGGAUUAGCUAGUUGGUGGGGUAAAGGCCUACCAAGGCGACGAUCCGUAACUGGUCUGAGAGGAUGAUCAGUCACACUGGAACUGAGACACGGUCCAGACUCCUACGGGAGGCAGCAGUGGGGAAUAUUGGACAAUGGGCGAAAGCCUGAUCCAGCCAUGCCGCGUGUGUGAAGAAGGUCUUCGGAUUGUAAAGCACUUUAAGUUGGGAGGAAGGGCAGUAAGUUAAUACCUUGCUGUUUUGACGUUACCAACAGAAUAAGCACCGGCUAACUUCGUGCCAGCAGCCGCGGUAAUACGAAGGGUGCAAGCGUUAAUCGGAAUUACUGGGCGUAAAGCGCGCGUAGGUGGUUCAGCAAGUUGGAUGUGAAAUCCCCGGGCUCAACCUGGGAACUGCAUCCAAAACUACUGAGCUAGAGUACGGUAGAGGGUGGUGGAAUUUCCUGUGUAGCGGUGAAAUGCGUAGAUAUAGGAAGGAACACCAGUGGCGAAGGCGACCACCUGGACUGAUACUGACACUGAGGUGCGAAAGCGUGGGGAGCAAACAGGAUUAGAUACCCUGGUAGUCCACGCCGUAAACGAUGUCGACUAGCCGUUGGGAUCCUUGAGAUCUUAGUGGCGCAGCUAACGCGAUAAGUCGACCGCCUGGGGAGUACGGCCGCAAGGUUAAAACUCAAAUGAAUUGACGGGGGCCCGCACAAGCGGUGGAGCAUGUG